rnacentral:rRNA from 1 species
UACGUACUGUGCGAACGUUAUUCGGAAUCACUGGGCUUAAAGGGUGCGUAGGCGGCCGCCUAAGUAGGGUGUGAAAGCUCUCGGCUCAACCGAGGAAUUGCGCUCUAAACUGGACGGCUUGAGUGAGAUAGGGGUGUGCGGAACUUCCAGUGGAGCGGUGAAAUGUGUUGAUAUUGGAAGGAACACCGGUGGCGAAAGCGGCACACUGGGUCUUAACUGACGCUGAGGCACGAAAGCCAGGGGAGCGAACGGG